rnacentral:rRNA from 1 species
AUUGAACGCUGGCGGCAUGCUUUACACAUGCAAGUCGAACGGUAACAGGGUGCUUGCACCGCUGACGAGUGGCGAACGGGUGAGUAAUGCAUCGGAAUGUACCGUGUAAUGGGGGAUAGCUCGGCGAAAGCCGGAUUAAUACCGCAUACGCCCUGAGGGGGAAAGUGGGGGACCGAAAGGCCUCACGUUAUACGAGCAGCCGAUGUCUGAUUAGCUAGUUGGUGAGGUAAGGGCUCACCAAGGCGUCGAUCAGUAGCGGGUCUGAGAGGAUGAUCCGCCACACUGGGACUGAGACACGGCCCAGACUCCUACGGGAGGCAGCAGUGGGGAAUUUUGGACAAUGGGCGCAAGCCUCAUCCAGCCAUGCCGCGUGUCUGAAGAAGGCCUUCGGGUUGUAAAGGACUUUUGUCCGGGAGCAAAUCCUAGUGGUUAAUAACCGCUGGGUCUGAGAGUACCGGAAGAAUAAGCACCGGCUAACUACGUG